rnacentral:rRNA from 1 species
GAUGAACGCUGGCGGCGUGCCUAAUACAUGCAAGUCGAGCGAACGGACGAGAAGCUUGCUUCUCUGAUGUUAGCGGCGGACGGGUGAGUAACACGUGGAUAACCUACCUAUAAGACUGGGAUAACUUCGGGAAACCGGAGCUAAUACCGGAUGAUAUUUUGAACCGCAUGGUUCAAAAGUGAAAGACGGUCUUGCUGUCACUUAUAGAUGGAUCCGCGCUGCAUUAGCUAGUUGGUAAGGUAACGGCUUACCAAGGCAACGAUGCAUAGCCGACCUGAGAGGGUGAUCGGCCACACUGGAACUGAGACACGGUCCAGACUCCUACGGGAGGCAGCAGUAGGGAAUCUGCCGCAAUGGGCGAAAGCCUGACGGAGCAACGCCGCGUGAGUGAUGAAGGUCUUCGGAUCGUAAAACUCUGUUAUUAGGGAAGAACAUAUGUGUAAGUAACUGUGCACAUCUGGACGGUACCUAAUCAGAAAGCCACGGCUAACUACGU